GAUGAACGCUGGCGGUAUGCUUAACACAUGCAAGUCGAACGGACUCUUCGGAGUUAGUGGCGGACGGGUGAGUAACGCGUGAGAAUCUGGCUUUGGGUUCGGGACAACCACUGGAAGCGGUGGCUAAUACCGGAUGUGCCGAGAGGUAAAAGAGAAAUUGCCUGAAGAUGAGCUCGCGUCUGAUUAGCUAGUUGGUGAGGUAAAGGCUCACCAAGGCAGCGAUCAGUAGCUGGUCUGAGAGGAUGACCAGCCACACUGGGACUGAGACACGGCCCAGACUCCUACGGGAGGCAGCAGUGGGGAAUUGUCCGCAAUGGGCGAAAGCCUGACGGAGCAAUACCGCGUGAGGGAAGAAGGCUCUUGGGUUGUAAACCUCUUUUCUUAGGGAAGAACAAAAUGACGGUACCUAAGGAAUCAGCAUCGGCUAACUCCGUG
rnacentral:rRNA from 1 species